UCCAAAACAAACACAGCCCUGAUACACUGUGGCCGUACAUAAUUAACGUUUCGCAAACAAACUGUUGCUUACACAUAGCAGACAUAUUGUAGCCUGUGUCUGGCCAAGAGACUAAUGUAAGUCACUGUUUGUCUCCAUCAACUCCUGUGAAAAAUAUCUGGAGCUUUAGCUUGCUAACUGAUCAACUUUCUUCACCAGCUAGCUAGCUAGCAUUAACGCUACUCACCUUACUUAAUUGCUAGCUUUGUCUUUCUGCUGUUCGGUACUAACAGGUCUGGGUGCUAAUAGCCAGUAGCAUCCUUUUUGUUGUGAUGACCAUGCCCUUACUGAGCGGUAAGCUGAUCUGUUUUUGGAAGUGAUGGACUUAAUGGCUGCUCUUGACUGGCAACCUGGGCAAACAGACUGCAGGAGUAACAUCUUGCUGGGGACCGAGGCUACAAACACUGGAGAGAUUAUUCGCUUCUCCCUCAGAGUCCUUAAGGAGAGGAACAUUCCAGCCUCCAAGGUGAUCCAGGUGCAGCAGCCCUUCAUGGAGCGAAGGAUUUAUGCCAUCUUAGUGAGUCAGUGGCCUGACGCUCACACAUGCUGUCUUGACUUCACCUCAGUUAGGCAUCUUUGAAUACCCUCAUCCCAUUGUCAGCACAGCCUCUGAUCUCAUCUAUUGCAUGCUUGGUAGUAUCUAUCACUCAUCUUUUAAUGUUAUCACUGUCUGUGA